rnacentral:rRNA from 1 species
CGCCUCUUGAAUAAAAAUAAGAGGUCCAGCCUGCCCAGUGACUAAUGUUCAACGGCCGCGGUAUCCUGACCGUGCGAAGGUAGCGCAAUCACUUGUUCUUUAAAUGGGGACUAGUAUGAACGGCACCACGAGGGUUAUACUGUCUCCUUUUUCCAAUCAGUGAACCUAAUCUCCCCGUGAAGAAACGGGGAUACAUCUAUAAGACGAGAAGACCCUAUGGAGCUUUAAAUACCCCUUCAAACGUCCGAUCCCAAUUUUAUAAACACCUACAUUAACCCUGAACGCCAUGAAGAUAACUUUAGGUUGGGGUGACCGCGGAGAACAACACAACCUCCACGCUGAAUCAGACUCUUAAAGCCUGAGCCAAGAGCCACUGCUCAACGCACUAAGAAAUUAACACUUAUUGACCCAAUAUACCAUUUGAUCAACGAACCAAGUUACCCUAGGGAUAACAGCGCAAUCCAUUUCAAGAGUCCGUAUCGACAAAUGGGUUUACGACCUCGAUGUUGGAUCAGGGUAUCCCAGUGGUGCAGCCGCUACUAAUGGUUCGUUUGUUCAACGAUUAAAACCC